AAAAUGACGGUACCUGAGGAAUAAGCAUCGGCUAACUCCGUGCCAGCAGCCGCGGUAAUACGGAGGAUGCAAGCGUUAUCCGGAAUGAUUGGGCGUAAAGGGUCCGCAGGUGGCAUUGUAAGUCUGCUGUUAAAGAGUUUGGCUCAACCAAAUAAGAGCAGUGGAAACUACAAAGCUAGAGUGUGGUCGGGGCAGAGGGAAUUCCUGGUGUAGCGGUGAAAUGCGUAGAUAUCAGGAAGAACACAAGUGGCGAAGGCGCUCUGCUAGGCCGAGACUGACACUGAGGGACGAAAGCUAGGGGAGCGAAUGGGAUUAGAUACCCCAGUAGUACUAGCAGUAAACGAUGGAUACUAGGCGGAGCUCGUAUCGACCCGAGCUGUGCCGGAGCUAACGCGUUAAGUAUCCCGCCUGGGGAGUACGCAGGCAACUGUGAAACUCAAAGGAAUUGACGGGGGCCCGCACAAGCGGUGGAGUAUGUGGUUUAAUUCGAUGCAACGCGAAGAACCUUACCAAGGCU
rnacentral:rRNA from 1 species